UAUUAAUAUUAGAUUAAAAAAUAAUUUUUUACCUUUAAGAUUUAAAUAAAAUAAAACUUUUUAAUUUUAAUCCCUUAAAUGUAGAAAAUUGGAUUAAUUUAUAAUUAAUUAAAUUAAAGUGCCAGCAAUUGCGGUUACUCUUAAAAUUAAAUUAUUUUUUUAUCAAUUAUAUAUUAAUUAAAAUUAUAUUAAAUUAUUUUAAGUAAAAUUUUAUAAUUUAACAUAAUUUUUAAAAAAAUAAUCUAAAUUUUAGUUUUAAAAAAGGAUUAGAUACCCUUUUAUUCUAAUUAUAUAAUAGGUAGUAUACUUUGUAAAAACCAUAAUACUAUGGUGGCAUUUUAUUUUAUUAGAGGAACAUGUUUAUUAAUCGACAUUACACGAUUAUUUUUACUUUUUUAUAAAUUUUAUAUACCUCCGUCCAGAAUAAAUUUUUAAUAUUUUAUUCAAAAUAAUAUUAUAAUAAUUUAGGUAAAGGUGUAGACUUUAAAUUAGUUUAAAUGUGUUACAUUAAAAAUUAUUUAAGAAUUAUUUUUUAUAACAAUAUAUGAAAGGGGAUUUAUAAGUAUUUUUUAAUUAAAAUUUUAACUUGAAUUAAAAAAUAAAUGUGCACAUAUCGCCCGUCACCUUUAUCUAAAGAUAAAGUAAGUCGUAACAAAGUUAAUGUUCUAGAAAGAGCAUUUUGAAAUUCCU
rnacentral:rRNA from 1 species